GGACUGGAUAAGAAGAUAUUUGUCCAGAAUCACUACUCAGUGUUCCAACAAAGUAAAUGUUCAGCUUCACAAUGCAAAGAAACUCUUUGCAGCCUGUUCAGCACAAUCGAAUGAGAGUAACCAAGCCCCCAUAUAUCCUGACGUCCAACUGUGUGCACUACCAACAUAAAACACAUAAGAACUAAUGUGGGACUUUUAUGAGAUAGUCACAUGACAGUAUGUGUGUGCACUGACACCUCUCCUGAGCCAUCCUUUCUCUCCCUUCAUAGUUUCACAUCCUGCACUGAAUGUGCACCACGUCAUUAUGCAAAACUAAAAAAAGUUGUGGUUGUUAUCAUUUUAUGUCACACAUCUUUCCUCCUCUGAA